CAAAGACUUUGCCUUGUUAUUUUUGGUCCAUUACACAACAAGCGCCACAGGAAAGGUUGCAGCCACCCAAGAUAGAACCACCAAGUNCGUUCCUCUUCAUACAUUGAUCCACAGUUCUAAGCAGUCUUUCUAUAGGAUUAUCGAGUACUAAUCGAUCAAAAUCAGCCAUGAAGAUAAGGAUCUUGACUGUGUUCAUCCUGUUUUGAGCCAUUGUCUUGUUAUGAAGGCAAGCCGAAAGAAGAUGGCGAGACUAGACACGCUGCCAAGCGAGACAGUGAUCUCGACAGCAUUAAAAAGUUGCUGUGGGUGGCUCAGCAACAGGAAAACCAGCGUGGUUCAGCCUGGAAAGAUGACGGAGAUGUUAGGGACGAAGACGAUGACGUGGGCAAUGACCGUUCAAAACUCACCAAGGAAAACUUUAGAGGUCGAGGUUAAUUAAGGAGAAAUGGCUUCUUUUUCGAGCUAAUAGAUAUUCAAACACAGAAAAAGAUAAAUUGUAACUGAGCAAUAGUAAAAUAAAAUAUGGGCUUGAUAAGGGAA
rnacentral:lncRNA from 1 species